rnacentral:lncRNA from 1 species
GUACUUUUCUUAUAUGCUCUGUCAGCGAAUACGUUUUCCGCAUACAACUCCGGCACGUGAUCGAAUAUCUACAUAGUUUGUAAAAGAUAUGAUACACGGUAUACACGGUAGCCCAUGCAUAAUUCAUAUCGGAAGAGCAGACGGUAAGUCAUGGGCUCUGUCCAUUAAUAUCAUGCAACCACACUGGCUGGCGGGA